rnacentral:rRNA from 1 species
CAAUAGCGUAUAUUAAAGUUGUUGCGGUAAAAAAGCUCGUAGUUGGAUUUCUACCGAAGAUAGCCGGUCGGGUCUUCGACCUUGUAUCUGGUUUUGUCUUUGGUAUCCUCAUAGGGAACGUUUCUGCGCUUUAUUGCGUGGUGCGGUAUCUAUGACUUUUACUUUGAGGAAAUUAGAGUGUUCACGGCAGGCAAACGCCUUGAAGAUAUUAGCAUGGAAUAAUAACAUAGGAUCUUCGUCCUAUUUUGUUGGUUUCUAGGGCUAAGAUAAUGAUUAAUAGGGAUAAUUGGGGGCAUCUGUAUCAACGCGUCAGAGGUGGAAUUCUUGGAUUGCGUUGCGACAAACUACUGCGAAAGCAUUUGCCAAGGAUGUUUUCAUUGA